GGCUUAACACAUGCAAGUCGAGGGGUAACAGAGAAAGCUUGCUUUCUGCUGACGACCGGCGCACGGGUGCGUAACGCGUAUGCAACCUACCUUAUACUGGGGAAUAGCCCGAAGAAAUUCGGAUUAAUGCCCCAUAGUAUUGUCGAUUCGCAUGUUUUGACAAUUAAAGAUUACGGUAUAAGAUGGGCAUGCGUCCCAUUAGCUAGAUGGUAAGGUAACGGCUUACCAUGGCAACGAUGGGUAGGGGGCCUGAGAGGGUGAUCCCCCACACUGGUACUGAGACACGGACCAGACUCCUACGGGAGGCAGCAGUGAGGAAUAUUGGUCAAUGGAGGCAACUCUGAACCAGCCAUGCCGCGUGCAGGAAGACGGUCCUAUGGAUUGUAAACUGCUUUUAUUUGGGAAUAAACCUGGGUACGUGUACCCAGCUGAAUGUACCAAACGAAUAAGCACCGGCUAACUCCGUGCCAGCAGCCGCGGUAAUACGGAGGAUCCAAGCGUUAUCCGGAAUCAUUGGGUUUAAAGGGUCCGCAGGCGGAUUUAUAAGUCAGUGGUGAAAGCCUACAGCUUAACUGUAGAACUGCCAUUGAUACUGUAAGUCUUGAAUUCGGUCGAAGUGGGCGGAAUAUGUCAUGUAGCGGUGAAAUGCUUAGAUAUGACAUAGAACACCGAUAGCGAAGGCAGCUCACUAGGCCUGGAUUGACGCUCAGGGACGAAAGCGUGGGGAGCGAACAGGAUUAGAUACCCUGGUAGUCCACGCCGUAAACUAUCAAUACUCGUUUUCGGCGAUAUACAGUCGGAGACUAAGCGAAAGUGAUAAGUAUUGCACCUGGGGAGUACGAUCGCAAGGUUGAAACUCAAAGGAAUUGACGGGGGCCCGCACAAGCGG
rnacentral:rRNA from 1 species